UUCCUUAUAUCCUAGCAUUCAAUUCAUGCAUGAUAAUUAAGUGUGCACUCUCAACCAACACACACAAAUCAAUGUAAUUCACAUAGAUAAGUAAAUUGAAUUCACAACUUAUGAACCACAAUUAGAAGUAAUCAAAUCAUAACGCAAGCAUAAACAUGUAUUUCGAAUCCCCCCUAGCCAAGGGGAGGUUUAGUUCCUCAUACGCACAAAACAAAGAUAAUUGAAUUUAAACAUUGAAAUCAAAGGAAAAGAAACACUAGAAAUUCCAGCGACGCGAACUUGAAUUGCAUGAACUUCCGAGCUUCCUUCUCCUCCUCCUUGGUGCGGCAAGGGUCUAGGGACAGGUUUAGGACCUUAGGUGUAUGGAUGCAUGGUUAUGGAGGGAUGUAG
rnacentral:lncRNA from 1 species